GGCAAACCCAGCCUUGACCAGGCCAGAGCCAUUGUCGCACACCAAAGCUGUAGUCUCGUCGUCGUCACACAUCCUGAUGGGUUCUAAGAAUAGACAAAGCCAUUGAGAAGUUGAAAAGGACACUACAAACUCAAAAUGGAGCUCAGGGAAGACAUUUGCUUCUCCAUCAGUUCAGCUGCUCUCUUCGCACCAGCUGCAGGAGGAAGGAGAGGAGGAAGAUUGGGAGCGACAGAUGAGAA